ensembl:lncRNA
CAGGUGAAAGGUUUGCAAUGUCCACUAUGUGAACUAGACCGAAUAAUAAAAAUACUGAAAUAAUUUUGAAACAUCGGAAGCAGAAAGAGAGGAGGAAUUCACAACUUUUUAUCUCAUAGGUCAUCAUUUCGGUGGGAAACAUUAUGGAAGACAAACGGAAAGUAUUCAUUUUCCUGUUACUGAUGGCAGCAACGACAGCAGCACCAACAGCAGCCGCACCUACAACUGCUGCGACAACAACAGCAACCCCAACAACUUUGGCAGUGACGACAUCAGCACCAACAACAGCCACAGAUACAACUGCAGCGACUACUACAGCAGCCCCAACAACUUUAGCAACAACGACAGCAACACAAACAACAACUGCAGCGACUACAACAGCAGCCCCAACAACUUUAGCAACAACAGCAGCUCCAACAACAGCCGCAGCGACUACAACAGCAGCACCAGCAACAACUGCAGCGACUACAACAGCAGCCCCAACAACUUUAGCAAUGACAACAGCAGCUCCAACAACUUUAGCAACGACAACAGCAGCUCCAACAACAACCGCAGCGACUACAGCAGCACCAACAACAACUGCAGCGACUAUUACAGCAGCCCCAACAACUUUAAUAACAACGACAGCAACACAAACAACAACUGCAGCGACUACAACAGCAGCCCCAACAACUUUAGCAAUGACAACAGCAGCUCCAACAACUUUAGCAACGACAACAGCAGCUCCAACAACAACCGCAGCGACUACAGCAGCACCAACAACAACUGCAGCGACUAUUACAGCAGCCCCAACAACUUUAAUAACAACGACAGCAACACAAACAACAACUGCAGCGACAACAACAGCAGCUCCAAAAACAGCCGCAACGACUACAACAGCAGCACCAACAACAACUGCAGCGACUACACCAGCAGCCCCAACAACUUUAGCAACGACAACAGCAGCUCCAACAACAACCGCAGCGACUACAACAAAAGCACCAACAACUGCAGCGACUACAAUAGCAGCCCCAACAACUUUAGCAACGACAACAGGAGCUCCAACAACAGUCGCACCUUUAACUGCUGCGACAACAACAGCAACCCCAACAACCACAGCAGCACAAACAACAACUGCAACGACUACAACAGCAGCCCCAACAGCUUUAGCAACGACAACAGCAGCUCCAACAACAACCGCAGCGACUACAACAGCAGCACCAACAACUGCAGCGACUACAACAGCAGCCCCAACAACUUUAGCAACGACAACAGAAGCUCCAACAACAGCCGCACCUACAACUGCUAGGACAACAACAGCAACCCCAACAACCACAGCAGCACAAACAACAACUGCAGCGACUACAACAGCAACCCCAACAACUUUGGCAGAGACGACAGCAGCACCAACAACAGCCACAGCUACAACUGCAGCGACUACAACAGCAGCCCCAACAACUUUAGCAACAACGACAGCAACACAAACAACAACCGCAGCGACUACAACAGCAGCCCCAACAACUUUAGCAACGACAACAGCAGCUCCAACAACAGCCGCAGCGACUACAACAGCAGCACCAACAACUGCAGCGACUACAAACGUAGCCCCAACAACUUUAGCAGCGACGACAGCAGCACCAACAACAGCCGCACCUACAACUGCUGCGACAACAACAGCAACCCCAACAACCACAGCAGCACAAACAACAACUGCAGCGACUACAACAGCAGCCCCAACAACUUUAGCAACGACAACAGCAGCCCUAACAACAGCCGCACCUACAACUGCUGCGACAACAACAGCAACCCCAACAACCACAGCAGAACAAACAACAACUGCAGCGACUACAACAGCAACCCCAACAACUUUGGCAGAGACGACAGCAGCACCAACAACAGCCACAGCUACAACUGCAGCGACUACAACAGCAGCCCCAACAACUUUAGCAACAACGACAGCUACACAAACAACAACUGCAGCGACUACAACAUUAGCACCAACAACUGCAGCGACUACAAACGUAGCCCCAACAACUUUAGCAGUGACGACAGCAGCACCAACAACAGCCGCACCUACAACUGCUGCGACAACAACAGCAACCCCAACAACCACAGCAGCACAAACAACAACUGCAGCCACUACAACAGCAGCCCCAACAACUUUAGCAACAACGACAGCAACACAAACAACAACUGCAGCGACUACAACAGCAGCCCCAACAACUUUAGCAACGACAACAGCAGCUCCAACAACAGCCGCAGCGACUACAACAGCAGCACCAACAACUGCAGCGACUACAAACGUAGCCCCAACAACUUUAGCAGCGACGACAGCAGCACCAACAACAGCCGCACCUACAACUGCUGCGACAACAACAGCAACCCCAACAACCACAGCAGCACAAACAACAACUGCAGCGACUACAACAGCAGCCCCAACAACUUUAGCAACGACAUCAGCAGCCCUUACAACAGCCGCACCUACAACUGCUGCGACAACAACAGCAACCCCAACAACCACAGCAGAACAAACAACAACUGCAGCGACUACAACAGCAACCCCAACAACUUUGGCAGAGACGACAGCAGCACCAACAACAGCCACAGCUACAACUGCAGCGACUACAACAGCAGCCCCAACAACUUUAGCAACAACGACAGCAACACAAACAACAACUGCAGCGACUACAACAUUAGCACCAACAACUGCAGCGACUACAAACGUAGCCCCAACAACUUUAGCAGUGACGACAGCAGCACCAACAACAGCCGCACCUACAACUGCUGCGACAACAACAGCAACCCCAACAACCACAGCAGCACAAACAACAACUGCAGCCACUACAACAGCAGCCCCAACAACUUUAGCAGCGACAACAGCAGCACCAACAACAGCCGCACCUACAACUGCUGCGACAACAACAGCAACCCCAACAACCACAGCAGCACAAACAACAACUGCAGCGACUACAACAGCAGCCCUAACAACUUUAGCAGCGACGACAGCAGCACCAACAACAGCCGCACCUACAACUGCUGCGACAACAACAGCAACCCCAACAACUUUGGCAGUGACGACAUCAGCACCAACAACAGCCACAGAUACAACUGCAGCGACUACUACAGCAGCCCCAACAACUUUAGCAACAACGACAGCAACACAAACAACAACUGCAGCGACUACAACAGCAGCCCCAACAACUUUAGCAACAACAGCAGCUCCAACAACAGCCGCAGCGACUACAACAGCAGCACCAACAACAACUGCAGCGACUACACCAGCAGCCCCAACAACUUUAGCAACGACAACAGCAGCUCCAACAACAACCGCAGCGACUAGAACAGCAGCACCAACAACAACUGCAGCGACUACUACAGCAGCCCCAACAACUUUAGCAACAACGACAGCAACACAAACAACAACUGCAGCGACUACAACAGCAGCCCCAACAACUUUAGCAACAACAGCAGCAGCUCCAACAACAGCCGCAGCGACUACAACAGCAGCACCAACUGCAGCGACUACAACAGCAGCCCCAACAACUUUAGCAACGACAACAGCAGCUCCAACAACGGCCGCAGCGACAACAACAGCAGCACCAACAACAGCAGCACCAACAACAACUGCAGCGACUACAACAGCAGCCCCAACAACUUUAGCAACGACAACAGCAGCUCCAACAACAACCGCAGCGACUACAACAGCAGCACCAACAACUGCAGCGACUACAACAGCAGCCCCAACAACUUUAGCAACGACAACAGGAGCUCCAACAACGGCCGCACCUACAACUGCUGUGACAACAACAGCAACCCCAACAACCACAGCAGCACAAACAACAACUGCAGCGACUACAACAGCAGCCCCAACAACUUUAGCAGCGACAACAGCAGCACCAACGACAGCCGCACAUACAACUGCUGCGACAACAACAGCAACCCCAACAACUUUGGCAGAGACGACAGCAGCACCAACAACAGCCACAGCUACAACUGCAGCGACUACAACAGCAGCCCCAACAACUUUAGCAACAACGAUAGCAACACAAACAACAACCGCAGCGACUACAACAGCAGCCCCAACAACUUUAGCAACGACAACAGCAGCUCCAACAACAGCCGCAGCGACUACAACAGCAGCACCAACAACUGCAGCGACUACAAACGUAGCCCCAACAACUUUAGCAGCGACGACAGCAGCACCAACAACAGCCGCACCUACAACUGCUGCGACAACAACAGCAACCCCAACAACCACAGCAGCACAAACAACAACUGCAGCGACUACAACAGCAGCCCCAACAACUUUAGCAACGACAACAGCAGCCCUAACAACAGCCGCACCUACAACUGCUGCGACAACAACAGCAACCCCAACAACCACAGCAGAACAAACAACAACUGCAGCGACUACAACAGCAACCCCAACAACUUUGGCAGAGACGACAGCAGCACCAACAACAGCCACAGCUACAACUGCAGCGACUACAACAGCAGCCCCAACAACUUUAGCAACAACGACAGCAACACAAACAACAACUGCAGCGACUACAACAUUAGCACCAACAACUGCAGCGACUACAAACGUAGCCCCAACAACUUUAGCAGUGACGACAGCAGCACCAACAACAGCCGCACCUACAACUGCUGCGACAACAACAGCAACCCCAACAACCACAGCAGCACAAACAACAACUGCAGCCACUACAACAGCAGCCCCAACAACUUUAGCAACAACGACAGCAACACAAACAACAACUGCAGCGACUACAACAGCAGCCCCAACAACUUUAGCAACGACAACAGCAGCUCCAACAACAGCCGCAGCGACUACAACAGCAGCACCAACAACUGCAGCGACUACAAACGUAGCCCCAACAACUUUAGCAGCGACAACAGCAGCACCAACAACAGCCGCACCUACAACUGCUGCGACAACAACAGCAACCCCAACAACCACAGCAGCACAAACAACAACUGCAGCCACUACAACAGCAGCCCCAACAACUUUAGCAGCGACAACAGCAGCACCAACAACAGCCGCACCUACAACUGCUGCGACAACAACAGCAACCCCAACAACCACAGCAGCACAAACAACAACUGCAGCGACUACAACAGCAGCCCUAACAACUUUAGCAGCGGCGACAGCAGCACCAACAACAGCCGCACCUACAACUGCUGCGACAACAACAGCAACCCCAACAACUUUGGCAGUGACGACAUCAGCACCAACAACAGCCACAGAUACAACUGCAGCGACUACUACAGCAGCCCCAACAACUUUAGCAACAACGACAGCAACACAAACAACAACUGCAGCGACUACAACAGCAGCCCCAACAACUUUAGCAACAACAGCAGCUCCAACAACAGCCGCAGCGACUACAACAGCAGCACCAGCAACAACUGCAGCGACUACAACAGCAGCCCCAACAACUUUAGCAAUGACAACAGCAGCUCCAACAACUUUAGCAACGACAACAGCAGCUCCAACAACAACCGCAGCGACUACAGCAGCACCAACAACAACUGCAGCGACUAUUACAGCAGCCCCAACAACUUUAAUAACAACGACAGCAACACAAACAACAACUGCAGCGACUACAACAGCAGCCCCAACAACUUUAGCAAUGACAACAGCAGCUCCAACAACUUUAGCAACGACAACAGCAGCUCCAACAACAACCGCAGCGACUACAGCAGCACCAACAACAACUGCAGCGACUAUUACAGCAGCCCCAACAACUUUAAUAACAACGACAGCAACACAAACAACAACUGCAGCGACAACAACAGCAGCUCCAAAAACAGCCGCAACGACUACAACAGCAGCACCAACAACAACUGCAGCGACUACACCAGCAGCCCCAACAACUUUAGCAACGACAACAGCAGCUCCAACAACAACCGCAGCGACUACAACAAAAGCACCAACAACUGCAGCGACUACAAUAGCAGCCCCAACAACUUUAGCAACGACAACAGGAGCUCCAACAACAGUCGCACCUUUAACUGCUGCGACAACAACAGCAACCCCAACAACCACAGCAGCACAAACAACAACUGCAGCGACUACAACAGCAGCCCCAACAGCUUUAGCAACGACAACAGCAGCUCCAACAACAACCGCAGCGACUACAACAGCAGCACCAACAACUGCAGCGACUACAACAGCAGCCCCAACAACUUUAGCAACGACAACAGAAGCUCCAACAACAGCCGCACCUACAACUGCUAGGACAACAACAGCAACCCCAACAACCACAGCAGCACAAACAACAACUGCAGCGACUACAACAGCAACCCCAACAACUUUGGCAGAGACGACAGCAGCACCAACAACAGCCACAGCUACAACUGCAGCGACUACAACAGCAGCCCCAACAACUUUAGCAACAACGACAGCAACACAAACAACAACCGCAGCGACUACAACAGCAGCCCCAACAACUUUAGCAACGACAACAGCAGCUCCAACAACAGCCGCAGCGACUAUAACAGCAGCACCAACAACUGCAGCGACUACAACAGCAGCCCCAACAACUUUAGCAACAACAACAGGAGCUACAACAACAGCCGCACCUACAACUGCUGCGACAACAACAGCAACCCCAACAACCACAGCAGCACAAACAACAACUGCAGUGACUACAACAGCAGCCCCAACAACUUUAGCAACAACGACAGCAACACAAACAACAACUGCAGCGACUACAACAGCAGCCCCAACAACUUUAGCAACGACAACAGCAGCUCCAACAACAGCCGCAGCGACUACAACAGCAGCACCAACAACUGCAGCGACUACAACAGCUGCCCCAACAACUUUAGCAACGACAACAGGAGCUCCAACAACAGCCGCACCUACAACUGCUGCGACAACAACAGCAACCCCAACAACCACAGCAGCACAAACAACAACUGCAGUGACUACAACAGCAGCCCCAACAACUUUAGCAACAACGACAGCAACACAAACAACAACUGCAGCGACUACAACAGCAGCCCCAACAACUUUAGCAACGACAACAGCAGCUCCAACAACAACCGCAGCGACUACAACAGCAGCACCAACAACUGCAGCGACUACAACAGCUGCCCCAACAACUUUAGCAACGACAACAGGAGCUCCAACAACAGCCGCACCUACAACUGCUGCGACAACAACAGCAACCCCAACAACCACAGCAGCACAAAAAACAACUGCAGCGACUACAACAGCAGCCCCAACAACUUUAGCAGCGACGACAGCAGCACCAACAACAGCCGCACCUACAACUGCUGUGACAACAACAGCAACCCCAACAACUUUGGCAGAGACGACAGCAGCACCAACAACAGCCACAGCUACAACUGCAGCGACUACAACAGCAGCCCCAACAACUUUAGCAACAACGACAGCAACACAAACAACAACUGCAGCGACUACAACAGCAGCCCCAACAACUUUAGCAACGACAACAGCAGCUCCAACAACAGCCGCAGCGACUACAACAGCAGCACCAACAACUGCAGCGACUACAAACGUAGCCCCAACAACUUUAGCAGCGACGACAGCAGCACCAACAACAGCCGCACCUACAACUGCUGCGACAACAACAGCAACCCCAACAACCACAGCAGCACAAACAACAACUGCAGCGACUACAACAGCAGCCCCAACAACUUUAGCAGCGACGACAGCAGCACCAACAACAGCCGCACCUACAACUGCUGCGACAACAACAGCAACCCCAACAACUUUGGCAGAGACGACAGCAGCACCAACAGCCACAGAUACCACUGCAGCGACUACUACAGCAGCCCCAACAACUUUAGCAACAACAACAGCAGCUCCAACAACAGCUGCAGCGACUACAACAGCAGCACCAACAACAACUGCAGCGACUACAACAGCAGCCCCAACAACUUUAGCAACAACAACAGCAGCUCCAACAACAGCCGCAGCGACUACAACAGCAGCACCAACAACAACUGCAGCGACUACAACAGCAGCCCCAACAACUUUAGCAACGACAACAGCAGCUCCAACAACACCCGCAGCGACUACAACAGCAGCACCAACAACAACUGCAGCGACUACUACAGCAGCCCCAACAACUUUAGCAACAACGACAGCAACACAAACAACAACUGCAGCGACUACAACAGCAGCCCCAACAACUUUAGCAACGACAACAGCAGCUCCAACAACAGCCGCAGCGACUACAACAGCAGCACCAACAACUGCAGCGACUACAAACGUAGCCCCAACAACUUUAGCAGCGACGACAGCAGCUCCAACAACAGCCGCACCUACAACUGCUGCGACAACAACAGCAACCCCAACAACCACAGCAGCACAAACAACAACUGCAGCGACUACAACAGCAGCCCCAACAACUUUAGCAACGACAACAGCAGCCCUAACAACAGCCGCACCUACAACUGCUGCGACAACAACAGCAACCCCAACAACCACAGCAGAACAAACAACAACUGCAGCGACUACAACAGCAACCCCAACAACUUGGGCAGAGACGACAGCAGCACCAACAACAGCCACAGCUACAACUGCAGCGACUACAACAGCAGCCCCAACAACUUUAGCAACAACGACAGCAACACAAACAACAACUGCAGCGACUACAACAUUAGCACCAACAACUGCAGCGACUACAAACGUAGCCCCAACAACUUUAGCAGUGACGACAGCAGCACCAACAACAGCCGCACCUACAACUGCUGCGACAACAACAGCAACCCCAACAACCACAGCAGCACAAACAACAACUGCAGCCACUACAACAGCAGCCCCAACAACUUUAGCAGCGACAACAGCAGCACCAACAACAGCCGAACCUACAACUGCAGCGACAACAACAGCAACCCCAACAACUUUGGCAGUGACGACAUCAGCACCAACAACAGCCACAGAUACAACUGCAGCGACUACUACAGCAGCCCCAACAACUUUAGCAACAACGACAGCAACACCAACAACAACUGCAGCGACUACAACAGCAGCCCCAACAACUUUAGCAACGACAACAGCAGCUCCAACAACAACCGCAGCGACUAGAACAGCAGCACCAACAACAACUGCAGCGACUACUACAGCAGCCCCAACAACUUUAGCAACAACGACAGCAACACAAACAACAACUGCAGCGACUACAACAGCAGCCCCAACAACUUUAGCAACAACAACAGCAGCUCCAACAACAGCCGCAGCGACUACAACAGCAGCACCAACUGCAGCGACUACAACAGCAGCCCCAACAACUUUAGCAACGACAACAGCAGCUCCAACAACGGCCGCAGCGACAACAACAGCAGCACCAACAACAACUGCAGCGACUACAACAGCAGCCCCAACAACUUUAGCAACGACAACAGCAGCUCCAACAACAACCGCAUCGACUACAACAGCAGCACCAACAACUGCAGCGACUACAACAGCAGCCCCAACAACUUUAGCAACGACAACAGGAGCUCCAACAACGGCCGCACCUACAACUGCUGUGACAACAACAGCAACCCCAACAACCACAGCAGCACAAACAACAACUGCAGCGACUACAACAGCAGCCCCAACAACUUUAGCAGCGACGACAGCAGCACCAACAACAGCCGCACAUACAACUGCUGCGACAACAACAGCAACCCCAACAACUUUGGCAGAGACGACAGCAGCACCAACAACAGCCACAGCUACAACUGCAGCGACUACAACAGCAGCCCCAACAACUUUAGCAACAACAGCAGCUCCAACAACAGCCGCAGCGACUACAACAGCAGCACCAACAACAACUGCAGCGACUACAACAGCAGCCCCAACAACUUUAGCAACAACAACAGCAGCUCCAACAACAACCGCAGCGACUAGAACAGCAGCACCAACAACAACUGCAGCGACUACUACAGCAGCCCAAACAACUUUAGCAACAACGACAGCAACACAAACAACAACUGCAGCGACUACAACAGCAGCCCCAACAACUUCAGCAACGACAACAGCAGCUCCAACAACGGCCGCAGCGACAACAACAGCAGCACCAACAACAACUGCAGCGACUACAACAGCAGCCCCAACAACUUUAGCAACGACAACAGCAGCUCCAACAACAACCGCAGCGACUACAACAGCAGCACCAACAACUGCAGCGACUACAACAGCAGCCCCAACAACUUUAGCAACGACAACAGGAGCUCCAACAACGGCCGCACCUACAACUGCUGUGACAACAACAGCAACCCCAACAACCACAGCAGCACAAACAACAACUGCAGCGACUACAACAGCAGCCCCAACAACUUUAGCAACGACAACAGCAGCUCCAAUAACAACCGCAGCGACUACAACAGCAGCACCAACAACUGCAGCGACUACAACAGCAGCCCCAACAACUUUAGCAACGACAACAGAAGCUCCAACAACAGCCGCACCUACAACUGCUAGGACAACAACAGCAACCCCAACAACCACAGCAGCACAAACAACAACUGCAGCGACUACAACAGCAACCCCAACAACUUUGGCAGAGACGACAGCAGCACCAACAACAGCCACAGCUACAACUGCAGCAACGACAACAGCAGCUCCAACAACGGCCGCAGCGACAACAACAGCAGCACCAACAACAACUGCAGCGACUACAACAGCAGCCCCAACAACUUUAGCAACGACAACAGCAGCUCCAACAACAACCGCAGCGACUACAACAGCAGCACCAACAACUGCAGCGACUACAACAGCAGCCCCAACAACUUUAGCAACGACAACAGGAGCUCCAACAACGGCCGCACCUACAACUGCUGUGACAACAACAGCAACCCCAACAACCACAGCAGCACAAACAACAACUGCAGCGACUACAACAGCAGCCCCAACAACUUUAGCAGCGACGACAGCAGCACCAACAACAGCCGCACAUACAACUGCUGCGACAACAACAGCAACCCCAACAACUUUGGCAGAGACGACAGCAGCACCAACAACAGCCACAGCUACAACUGCAGCGACUACAACAGCAGCCCCAACAACUUUAGCAACAACGAUAGCAACACAAACAACAACCGCAGCGACUACAACAGCAGCCCCAACAACUCUAGCAACGACAACAGCAGCUCCAACAACAGCCGCAGCGACUACAACAGCAGCACCAACAACUGCAGCGACUACAACAGCAGCCCCAACAACUUUAGCAACGACAACAGGAGCUACAACAACAGCCGCACCUACAACUGCUAAGACAACAACAACCCCAACAACCACAGCAGCACAAACAACAACUGCAGCGACUACAACAGCAGCCCCAACAACUUUAGCAGCGACGACAGCAGCACCAACAGCAGCCGCACCUACAACUGCUGCGACAACAACAGCAACCCCAACAACUUUGGCAGAGACGACAGCAGCACCAACAACAGCCACAGCUACAACUGCAGCGACUACAACAGCAGCCCCAACAACUUUAUUAACCACGACAGCAACACAAACAACAACUGCAGCGACUACAACAGCAGCCCCAACAACUUUAGCAAUGACAACAGCAGCUCCAACAACUUUAGCAACGACAACAGCAGCUCCAACAACAACCGCAGCGACUACAGCAGCACCAACAACUGCAGCGACUAUUACAGCAGCCCCAACAACUUUAAUAACAACGACAGCAACACAAACAACAACUGCAGCGACUACAACAGCAGCCCCAACAACUUUAGCAACAACAACAGCAGCUCCAAAAACAGCCGCAACGACUACAACAGCAGCACCAACAACAACUGCAGCGACUACACCAGCAGCCCCAACAACUUUAGCAACGACAACAGCAGCUCCAACAACAACCGCAGCGACUACAACAAAAGCACCAACAACUGCAGCGACUACAACAGCAGCCCCAACAACUUUAGCAACGACAACAGGAGCUCCAACAACAGCCGCACCUACAACUGCUGCGACAACAACAGCAACCCCAACAACCACAGCAGCACAAACAACAACUGCAGCGACUACAACAGCAGACCCAACAACUUUAGCAACGACAACAGCAGCUACAACAACAACCGCAGCGACUACAACAGCAGCACCAACAACUGCAGCGACUACAACAGCAGCCCCAACAACUUUAGCAACGACAACAGAAGCUCCAACAACAGCCGCACCUACAACUGCUAGGACAACAACAGCAACCCCAACAACCACAGCAGCACAAACAACAACUGCAGCGACUACAACAGCAACCCCAACAACUUUGGCAGAGACGACAGCAGCACCAACAACAGCCACAGCUACAACUGCAGCGACUACAACAGCAGCCCCAACAACUUUAGCAACAACGACAGCAACACAAACAACAACCGCAGCGACUACAACAGCAGCCCCAACAACUUUAGCAACGACAACAGCAGCUCCAACAACAGCCGCAGCGACUAUAACAGCAGCACCAACAACUGCAGCGACUACAACAGCAGACCCAACAACUUUAGCAACAACAACAGGAGCUACAACAACAGCCGCACCUACAACUGCUGCGACAACAACAGCAACCCCAACAACCACAGCAGCACAAACAACAACUGCAGUGACUACAACAGCAGCCCCAACAACUUUAGCAACAACAACAGCAGCUCCAAAAACAGCCGCAACGACUACAACAGCAGCACCAACAACAACUGCAGCGACUACACCAGCAGCCCCAACAACUUUAGCAACGACAACAGCAGCUCCAACAACAACCGCAGCGACUACAACAAAAGCACCAACAACUGCAGCGACUACAACAGCAGCCCCAACAACUUUAGCAACGACAACAGGAGCUCCAACAACAGCCGCACCUACAACUGCUGCGACAACAACAGCAACCCCAACAACCACAGCAGCACAAACAACAACUGCAGCGACUACAACAGCAGCCCCAACAACUUUAGCAACGACAACAGCAGCUCCAACAACAACCGCAGCGACUACAACAGCAGCACCAACAACUGCAGCGACUACAACAGCAGCCCCAACAACUUUAGCAACGACAACAGAAGCUCCAACAACAGCCGCACCUACAACUGCUAGGACAACAACAGCAACCCCAACAACCACAGCAGCACAAACAACAACUGCAGCGACUACAACAGCAACCCCAACAACUUUGGCAGAGACGACAGCAGCACCAACAACAGCCGCACCUACAACUGCUGCGACAACAACAGCAACCCCAACAACUUUGGCAGAGACGACAGCAGCACCAACAACAGCCACAGAUACAACUGCAGCGACUACUACAGCAGCCCCAACAACUUUAGCAACAACAACAGCAGCUCCAACAACAGCUGCAGCGACUACAACAGCAGCACCAACAACAACUGCAGCG